AGUGAACGCUGGCGGUAGGCCUAACACAUGCAAGUCGAACGGCAGCACAGUAAGAGCUUGCUCUUACGGGUGGCGAGUGGCGGACGGGUGAGGAAUACAUCGGAAUCUACUUUUUCGUGGGGGAUAACGUAGGGAAACUUACGCUAAUACCGCAUACGACCUACGGUUGAAAGCAGGGGAUCUUCGGACCUUGCGCGAUUGAAUGAGCGGAUGUCGGAUUGGCUAGUUGGCGGGGUAAAGGCCCACCAAGGCGACGAUCCGUAGCUGGUCUGAGAGAAUGAUCGGCCACACUGGAACUGAGCCACGGUCCAGACUCCUAAGGGAGGCAGCAGUGGGGAAUGUUGGACAAUGGGCGCAAGCCUGAUCCAGCCAUACCGCGUGUGUGAAGAAGGCCUUCGGGUCGUAAAGCCCUUUUGUUGGGAAAGAAAAGCAGCAGGUUAAUACGCCGCUGUUCUGACGGUAACCAAAGAAUAAGCACCGGCUAACUUCGUG
rnacentral:rRNA from 1 species